UUAAGCUCUUCAGCGCCGAUGGUAGUCGGGGGUUUCCCCCUGUGAGAGUAGGACGCCGCCAAGC
rnacentral:rRNA from 1 species